rnacentral:rRNA from 1 species
UACGAGGGGGGCGAGCGUUGUUCGGAAUUAUUGGGCGUAAAGGGCGCGUAGGUGGUUCGGUAAGUCGGAUGUGAAAUCUCCAGGCUCAACCUGGAGGGGUCAUUCGAUACUGCCGUGACUAGAGGUCGGUAGGGGAGUGUGGAAUUCCUGGUGGAGCGGUGAAAUGCGCAGAUAUCAGGAGGAACACCCGUAGCGAAGGCGGCACUCUGGGCCGAUACUGACACUGAGGAGCGAAAGCGUGGGGAGCGAACAGG